GCCAGGUGUGGUGGUGGGCACCUGUAAUCCCAGCUACUCGGGAGGCUGAGGCAGGAGAAUUGCUUGCGCCUGGGAAGUGGAGGUUGCAGUGAUCCACGAUUGAGCCACUGCGCUCCCACCUGGGUGACAGAGCGAGACCCUGUCUCCA
rnacentral:SRP_RNA from 1 species